rnacentral:rRNA from 1 species
AUGGUUCAAACCGGCAGACACACUAUUUUUCCUUUGGUAUAUCGACUCAUAGAGUUGGCAUUGAUCUUGCCGGUUGCAACCAUAUCAGUGGAAAGAGCUUUCUCGGCUAUGAGUAUUAUCGAGACCGAGUUGAGGAAUAAGAUGGGUGAUGAUUGGCUCAAUUAUAACAUGAUGUGCUAUAUUGAGCGAGAUGUAUUUGCAAGUAUUCCCGAUGAUGAUAUUUUAUAUCGCUUUCAAGCCUACAGGAAUCGUAGAGGGCUAUUACCUCCCCUUAGAGGUAAGGUUUCAGAUUUUAAUUAA